rnacentral:rRNA from 1 species
CCUACGGGAGGCAGCAGUAAGGAAUAUUGGGCAAUGGAGGCAACUCUGACCCAGCCAUGCCGCGUGAAGGAUGAAGGUCCUCUGGAUUGUAAACUUCUUUUAUAUGGGACGAAAUCCCUGUUUUCUAACAGGGUUGACGGCACCAUAGGAAUCAGCACCGGCUAACUCCGUGCCAGCAGCCGCGGUAAU